rnacentral:rRNA from 1 species
CGCACGGGUGAGUAACACGUGAAUGAUCACCUCCGAGUGGGGAAUAACCUAGGGAAACCUGGGCUAAUACCGCAUAACACUUACGAGUCAAAGCAGCAAUGCGCUUGGAGAGGAGUUCGCGGCAGAUUAGCUAGUUGGUGGGGUAAUGGCCCACCAAGGCGAUGAUCUGUAUCCGGCCUGAGAGGGCGCACGGACACACUGGAACUGAAACACGGUCCAG